rnacentral:pre_miRNA from 1 species
UCUUAGGAUAAGCAAAGAAAGUGGUUUCUUAAGAUGGAAACUAGUCCUGGUGUAAAUGCUGUGAA